CAAUAGCGUAUAUUAAAGUUGUUGCAGUUAAAAAGCUCGUAGUUGGAUUUCUGGUUUAGUGCGCUUGACCCGCCGCCGUUAGGCGUGUGAGUGUCGAUGCGCGCUUACCAUCCUUCUAGAGAACGUUUCUGCCCUUUACUGGGUUGGACUCGCAAUCUAGAACUUUUACUUUGAAAAAAUUAGAGUGUUUAAAGCAGGCUUACGCUAUGAAUACAUUAGCAUGGAAUAAUAAUAUAGGACUUUUGUUUUAUUUUGUUGGUUUCUAGGACGAGAGUAAUGAUUGAUAGGGACGAUUGGGGGUGCUAAUAUUCAGCGGCCAGAGGUGAAAUUCUUGGAUUCGCUGAAGAUUAACUUAUGCGAAAGCAUUCACCAAGGGCGUCUUCUUUAAUCAAGAACGAAAGUUGGGGAUCGAAGAUGAUCAGAUACCAU
rnacentral:rRNA from 1 species